AGCUGGUGAACACGAUGGAAAGUGAUGGUUUUCACCGCGUCACUUGGGAGUUUCAGCUGACGUUGGAGAAAUUCAUGGACCGUGUAUUCGGCGUCCUCCUCUGCCUGUUCUGGGAAUUCAGAAAAGACAAGGUUGUCCCGUAUGCCCCGAUGGGAUGGUCUCCUUCAUUUUUUGAUUUUCUCCAGACAGCUGCGUCAUUCCAUCGUUCCUCUCAGCUCCCCAGUCUCUUCUGUUUUCCAGGACGCUGUCUCUUCAACGUUCAUUAAGGAGCUUGGUUGGAGAUCUACUGCUGCAAAACGAUGGCUCUGCCUGUAAACUGAGAGGAACCAAGAAUGGAAAGUGGAGAUUAUAUACUUUUGGAAACAGUAUAUUUUAAACAGAAG